AGACUCAGAACGGGACAAAAAUAUCGCGCAGAGAGUGUCAGCGCAUACCGGGCGCUGCCGUCUUCUUUGUUGCGCAUUCUUUGCGCCUGUUGACCCGCGAUCGGGGGAGGGGUUGUCACGGUGCCUCAUCGACUGAUAUCGUCCUCUGCUCAGUUGGCAACGGCCUUAGGGAAGAAAGUGAGCGCCGAAAGAGAAACGCCGCACGUACAAGUGUGCACACAAGCGACUCGCACUUCUCCUCCCGCUCCCAUCCUCAAGGAUGGGCGGAAAGACCGCAUUUGAUGAUGUCUGCGCUAACGAGGCGAAGGCGUGGAGCAUCUGCCUAGAGACCAACUUGGGCGGCAAAGAUGUUCGCAAGAAGUGCAGCGUGCAGCAGCAGACGUUCGACACGUGCGUUUCGGCGUGGCGGGCCAAGGUUGGACAGGCCGUUCAGGUGAAGGGGGAGAACGAAGGGGAUCCGCCUUUCCAGUGUGCUUCCAUGUCCUGCCACAUUGGAGAGUGCUUGCGCAAGUACAACUACGACUUUGAUCGGUGCAAGCCGCACACCCAGUUCUUCAAGUACUGCGUCAAGAGCUUCUACGGCCAGGACUACAUUUCGUAAAGCGCUAGUGGUGAAUGUGGAAGCGACCGCGAUGUGCGCUUCCGUGAGUAGUCCACGAAGGACUUGCCUUCCCUUUUAGAGACUCUCCUUUCUCCACUUUCUGCCGUGACAAGUCCACGCUCCUUGUCGGCUGUAUGUUGUUUUUCUUGCUGCUUAGCGUGGCUCAUUUUCAAGAGACGGAAAGAGCCGUUCCCAGUGGUGCUUUCCCCAGGCGCUUUUCGUGUGCCUCUUACAGUGCGUUUGGUUGGGUUUACCGCUUUACAACAACAAUAUAAGCGUGCCAAAUGACGACGACGCGGAGUUCACGUGGCGAGGCCCAGAGCGAUGCGAUCGAUGAUGGCACUUGAUGCACCACACAAGCUCACGGCCAGCCUGAGGGCAGUUCUUUCGCUGUCUUCUAGCGAACAGGGCUGCUUGAACGUACACGUACAUGACGGGCGAUCUUCUUCGUUUCUGUCUUCGCCUUUUCUCUCUCGCUCAUGUGUGGAUCCGCUCCACUCGACAUACACAGCUCGGCUCUCUCUCUUUCUCACCACUACCUUUGGACAAG
rnacentral:misc_RNA from 1 species